ACAGUAUGGAAGAAAUCAAUAUGAAGAAAGCUUCUCAAUUAUAAUCUAGGGCUUCCACUGGUGAGGAAUAUCAGUGAGCUUACGCAGGAUAGUUAUGGUAGACCCGGUUUGUCUCACAUGACCAUAGCCGGUUCGCUUUUACAUGGAUGAAAGAGGUUGAGGUAUGGCUGCAAACAUUUUCUCCUGGAUCUCACACUCCAAUUCAUAGGCAUUCAUGCGAGGAAGUAUUCGUGGUACUGAAAGGAGUGGGACUCUUUAUCUUGCUUCUAAUUCACACCCCAAAUACCCGGCAACCCACAAGAGCUUCCUAUCUUCUCUAAUAGCACGUUUCAUAUCCCUGUUAAUGAUGCUCAUCAGAUAUGGAACACAAACAAAGAGGAGGAUUUACAGUUCUUGGUUGUUGUCUCUCGUCUCCAGUUAAAGUGUUUAUAUAUGAUGACUGGCAUAUGCCGCAUACCGCAGCCAAAUUGAAGUUCCCUUAUUAUUGGGAUGAAGAGUGUUACCUUAUGCCUCCAACAAAAGAUGAGCUUUAACUUGGAAAGCAAGAAUCUUGCACAAUUAGUGGAAGUCAAAUUUUAUCCAAUCAGUUGCAAGCAUGAAGCAAUUCUCAUUUCGUGAGGGAGCUUAUUCUUCCUCCAUCAAUCCUGAUGGAUGUAAAGGCAUUGAGUAUAUUUGAGGUCCACGGUUCUUUGCUUCAACGGACUAUCAUCCAGCCUCACAUCUAAAAACUACUGAUGCAGAAUGUGCCACGAAAGUGUAUCAUCGCUUUGUCUUUGAUGAUUCGCAUAUGGAUGUAAAGGGAUUGAGUAUAUUUGAGGUCCACAGUUCUUUGCUUUGACGGACUAUCAUCCAAGUCAUUGAGGCCUCACAUCUUAAAACUACUGAUGCUGAAUGUGCCACGAAAGUGUAUUGUCACUUUGUCUUUGACAAUUUGCAUGGAGUAGAGGUUUCUGCUGUUGCUUUCGAUCGUAAUGCUGCUCGCGUCAAAAAACUGCUUGUUCCUUUUAAAAUGUGCUGUAUUAAUAAUGCUGCCGUUGAAGAAAUUCCCAAAACUGUUGCACCGGUUGCGUAUCACUUCUACUAAAUUAUAAAUGAUGAUACUCUAAUCAAAGAAGUUGGCGAGCUUGACAAACUGAGCCUUCUGCCUGAUCUUGAUGACAAACUGAGCCUUCUGCCUGAUCUUGAUAUUUGCCCUUUUACCUCUUUUCCAACAUUUGGUUGAUGGCCGUGCCUCUAUAAUUGAGUCACUGGCUUCCUUUUUAUAUGCUUUACCAGCGAGAAAGGCACUUUUAGAUGGUGUUUCUGUUAUUGCUAGAGAUCAUGUCGUUGAUCAAAGGUGAUUCCCGGUGCCUGGAUCUUUCUGUAUUGCUUUGUUGGCCCCUGCAUUUUUUUAGAUUGCUGACACCUUGUUGUUUAUGUUUGUUGCUAUAGUAAGAAACCUGUUCUUCUGACAUUGUUUCGUGAUUUUUGAGACUGAAGUGGGACGGACCAUAGUAGAUGCAAUGGGGUCUGUUGUGUCCAAUCCAGUUAUUAUUGGUAUUAGACACAGAGCGAAGCUUGAUAAUUGUGAGAUCUAUUUCUAAGUAUAUUCAUGGUUCCUUAGUUAAUUUGUGUUA